UAAAAGAUAAGCUAAAUUAAGCUAAUGGGCUCAUAACCCAUCUAUGAAUUUUUCUCUUUUGU
rnacentral:tRNA from 1 species